UUACGGUCACAACACAUUGAAACACCGGUUCCCGUAUGAUCACCGAACUUAAGCAACGUCGAGCCUGGUCAAUACCUAGAUGGGUGACCGCUUGGGAAUACCAGGUGCUGGAA